CGGCGCUCGGGCUGGCUCGCCGGCCGCCUCCGCCGCCGGGCACGACCAGCGUCUGCAUCUGCCGCACCAGCUCGGGCAUGCGGUCCCAGUGGCCCUCGGCGCGGCAGCGCUCCAGCUCGCUCUCCAUCUUCAGGUUGGCUGAGUUCUUCUCCACAGUGUCUUCACUCUGGGGCUCAAGCUGGCAGAACAGCCACUGUCUAGAACAUUGACGAUCAUUAUGGCAGAGGGAAAAGAGUAUGACAUUUUUUAGACUCGUUUUCAACCACAUGAUCUUGGGAAGAGGACCUUGAGCCUUAGAGGAGACCCCAGCCCUGGCCAGCACCUUGAUUUCACCUUGUGAGCGUCUGAGCAGAGAACCUAGUUAAUCCCCACCUGGACUUCUGAUCUACGGAACUGUGAGGCAAUAAAUGCGUGUUGUUUUAAGCUGCUAAGUUUUAGUAAUUUGUUAUGCAGAAAUAGAAAACUA